rnacentral:rRNA from 1 species
GAUGAACGCUGGCGGCGUGCCUAAUACAUGCAAGUCGAGCGAACGGACGAUAAGCUUGCUUCUCUGAUGUUAGCGGCUGACGGGUGAGUAACACGUGGAUAACCUACCUAUAAGACUGGGAUAAUUUCGGGAAACCGGAGCUAAUACCGGAUAAUAUUUUGAACCGCAUGGUUCAAAAGUGAAAGACGGUCUUCCUGUCACUUAUAGAUGGAUCCGCGCUGCAUUAGCUAGUUGGUAAGGUAACGGCUUACCAAGGCAACGAUGCAUAUCCGACCUGAGAGGGUGAUCGGCCACACUGGAACUGAGACACGGUCCAGACUCCUACGGGAGGCAGCAGUAGGGAAUAUUCCGCAAUGGGCGAAAGCCUGACGGAGCAAUGCCGCGUGAGUGAUGAAGGUCUUCGGAUCGUAAAACUCUGUUAUUAGGGAAGAACAUAUGUGUAAGAAACUGUGCACAUCUUGACGGUACCUAAUCAGAAAGCAACGGCUAACUACGUG